UGCUAGCUUGCUGAAUUAGAUACAGGUGGCUGCACGGCUGUCGUCAGCUCGUGUCGUGAGAUGUGGGUUAAGUCCCGCAACGAGCGCAACCUCGUGUUUAGUUGCUAACAGUUCGGCUGAGAACUCUAAACAGACUGCCUACGCAAGUAGGAGGAAGGUGAGGACGACGUCAAGUCAUCAUGGCCCUUACGGCCAGGGCUACACACGUGCUACAAUGGGGUAUACAAAGAGCAGCGAUACGGUGACGUGGAGCAAAUCUAGAAAAUGCCUCUCAGUUCGGAUUGUAGUCUGCAACUCGACUACAUGAAGUUGGAAUCGCUAGUAAUCGUAGAUCAGCAAUGCUACGGUGAAUACGUUCCCGGGUCUU
rnacentral:rRNA from 1 species